rnacentral:rRNA from 1 species
GACGUAGGGCGCAAGCGUUGUCCGGAUUUAUUGGGCGUAAAGAGCUCGUAGGCGGCUUGUUGCGUCGACCGUGAAAACCCGUGGCUCAACUGCGGGCUUGCGGUCGAUACGGGCGGGCUAGAGUUCGGUAGGGGAGACUGGAAUUCCUGGUGUAGCGGUGAAAUGCGCAGAUAUCAGGAGGAACACCAGUGGCGAAGGCGACACGCUGGGCCGUACCUGACACUGAUGCGCGACAGCAUGGGGAGCAAACAGG